rnacentral:rRNA from 1 species
GAUGAACGCUGGCGGCGUGCCUAAUACAUGCAAGUCGAGCGAACAGACGAGGAGCUUGCUCCUCUGACGUUAGCGGCGGACGGGUGAGUAACACGUGGAUAACCUACUUAUAAUUCUGGGAUAAUUUCGGGAAACCGGAGCUAAUACCGGAUAAUAUAUUGAACCGCAUGGUUCAAUAGUGCAUGACGGCUUUGCUGUCACUUAUAGAUGGAUCCGCGCCGCAUUAGCUAGUUGGUAAGGUAACGGCCUACCAAGGCAACGAUGCGUAGCCGACCUGAGAGGGUGAUCGGCCACACUGGAACUGAGACACGGUCCAGACUCCUACGGGAGGCAGCAGUAGGGAAUCUUCCGCAAUGGGCGAAAGCCUGACGGAGCAACACCGCGUGGGUGAUGAAGGUCUUCGGAUCGUAAAGCUCUGUUAUUAGGGAAGAACAGAUGUGUAAGUAACUAUGGACGUCUUGACGGUACCUAAUCAGAAAGCCACGGCUAACUACGUG